rnacentral:lncRNA from 1 species
AUGCGAUUGUGUUUGUGUGAUAUUAACAGUGUGACAGUUUCUCAUAAAAACAAACGGCUGACAUUUACAUAUAAUAUAUUUCGCAUUCUCAAAUGUGCAUUUUCAUAUCAAGUAUCAGUAUUACAAUCAACAUUUGGCAAAUUGCAUAAUCUCCAUAUGCAUAUAGCUUCCGACAGAUUCACAUUAAAGUGCUAUAGGUGAUCACUCUUAUAGGGGAUUUUCCAUGGGUCAUAAAAAUAGCAUUAAGUGAACAUUUACAGUAAGCAGUCCUUAUUUGUACAGCUUUUAUUGAUGAUUCUCAACCCCAGAACUUGGGAACGGGCCAGUUUUUUCCAUCUAACUAAUAGGUGUAUACGAAACUACAGCACCAAUGUCAAAAAUAAAUGGGCACACUUGGGGUUUUCUCACGUAAAAGGUCUCUGAGGUCGUCUGUGGGGACGACACACAGAGAGGAUUUUGCAUGAGACACCAAGUGCUAGUUGGAUGAAAAAACUCGGCCCCUUGAUGCACCCUUCAGACUGAAGUUGAGAACGACUGCAUAAGAACUUUAAAGAGGAAGAACUGUUGAGUUUGAAGGAGAGUUUGCAAUUAACUGAUGUGCAGUAAGCCACAUCUUAAAUCAAACAUUUUAACUGUAUACUUUUUCUUGUCCAUAAACUUUCAGGGACAAAUUUGCAUGCAAAUUACAUGCAAAGAGAUUUUAGAAUAUGAAAGAUAAUGAUAUUUGAAAUAGCGCAGAUAAUGUGCUUGACUGGCUGAGUUUUCGCUUUAUAGACUUUAUAGACAAAGAAUGAAAAACAAUGAACAGAAAGCAAGUAAAACAAUACAAAAUGUAUAGAAGAUAAAUAUAUAUAAAUGAUGACUAUAAUUAAUCUUAUACAACUAGUUAAUUAUCUUAAUACUGACCUUAGAAUUGGCCUUGAGACAUGUAAAAGUUUUGUUCUUUGUUCUAAAUUAUACUGUACAAUACUUAAACCACUUAAUCAACGUAAGAAUAAGUACUAGGCUAAUACUAAUAAGAAAUAUUUCUACAUAAUCAUAAAGAAAUAAUUCAGAAGUUGUUCUGGUGGAUGG